CAGUCGCCGCGGGAAUACAGAGGGUGCGAGCGUUAAUCGGAUUUACUGGGCGUAAAGCGUGCGUAGGCGGCUUUUUAAGUCGGAUGUGAAAUCCCUGAGCUUAACUUAGGAAUUGCAUUCGAUACUGGGAAGCUAGAGUAUGGGAGAGGAUGGUAGAAUUCCAGGUGUAGCGGUGAAAUGCGUAGAGAUCUGGAGGAAUACCGGUGGCGAAGGCGGCCCCCUGGACAAAGACUGACGCUCAAGUGCGAAAGCGUGGGGAGCAAACAGGAUUAGAUACCCCCGUAGUCCCUGUCUCUUAUAC
rnacentral:rRNA from 1 species